UGUAGAAUUUGUCUUUGAUUAGGUCCUUGUCUAUGUUCCUUGGAACAGGACGUCAUAGAGGGUGAGAAUCCCGUUUGGCGAGGAUACCUUUUCUCUGUAAGACUUUUUCGAAGAGUCGAGUUGUUUGGGAAUGCAGCUCAAAGUGGGUGGUAAAUUCCAUCUAAAGCUAAAUAUUGGCGAGAGACCGAUAGCGAACAAGUACAGUGAUGGAAAGAUGAAAAGAACUUUGAAAAGAGAGUGAAAAAGUACGUGAAAUUGUUGAAAGGGAAGGGCAUUUGAUCAGACAUGGUGUUUUUUGCAUGCACUCGCCUCUCGUGGGCUUGGGCCUCUCAAAAAUUUCACUGGGCCAACAUCAAUUCUGGCAGUAGGAUAAAUCAUUAAGAAUGUAGCUACCUCGGUAGUGUUAUAGCUUAUUGGAAUACUGCUAGCUGGGAUUGAGGACUGCGCUUCGGCAAGGAUGUUGGCAUAAUGGUUAAAUGCCGCCCGUCUU
rnacentral:rRNA from 1 species